rnacentral:lncRNA from 1 species
GAAUUAGCUCACAUACAGUAAACACUGACUCGUGCGUGAGUCUUUUGUCUGGUCAGUCAAUGUUUAACUAAAUUAUAGAGCAUGAAACAGGGAUCAGCGGCUGCAAAAUGGCUUGGAGAACCGGGCGGUGAGACGCUGAGACCCGACUUUGGGAAACAGAGGGAGCUGAACGCAAGAUCAGGCCCAGAUGGUUAGGUACGGCCGGCUCCUGUUGGUGUGAGGAAGGGAUUACAUAAGUAGAAUUAAAGCGGUGAAAACGGGGACAUGUUUCAUUAGUUUCCCUGAUGCCAGAUCUAUAUUUGGAGCGUGAACCC